UGUAAAUUAGGCGGUGCAACGCCUGCAGUAAGUGAAAACGCAACGUGACGAUGCUUAUAUUUUCUUACAAGUACGUCAAACAAAUGAUGUUUAUAUUGAAUUACAACAGAUUUAGAAAAUUAAAAGAACAAGAGAGGCGCAAAAGUAGAACAAAGAAGUUGCGAAAGAUACAGUCGAACUGCUAGAAUCUCAGUCUGAAUCAGAAGAAGGGUCGGAUGAUGAGGUAUAAUUUUCAUGAAACUGCAACUUAUUAGUGAAGAUUUGAGCAAACAAGCACAUGGUUUGGUUAAAUGAUUGAGUACGUUGAUAAUUACUUAUUGAUGGAACAUGAAGAAGAGAUUCGAGAAGGAGCGUUGGCUUCGAGCACAAGCAAGCCAGUUCCUGAAAUUGGAAACGCACUGUAUAUAACAAGUAGAACUGCAGUAGUUGAUCAUAGUAAAUUGAUUGUGUUUCUUAUGUGAUUCGUCUUAUCACAAAUGUUAUUAACAACGUAAAUGUCCGUACUAUUGUGACUUCCAAAAUGGUGUAAGCAUAUCUUUGUUGUAAAAUUGUGAAUUUGAUAGAUGCAUGUUUUUCUAAUGUAUAAACGGCUUAUACAAUUUUUUAUAUAGGGAAUCUAAACAAAUUUAGGCAAUAUUAAACAUCUAAUAUACCUGAAUGUGUGUAACCACUAAUUAUUGUAAGCUAAGCACCGUUUAGUGACUUUAGUCAAACUGGGAAAUGGAAAAUCUAGUUGUAGUAGCUUGCUUUAUCGUUUUUGUUGAAGCCCAAAUCCGGUAACGUCAACAAAUAUGAUAAAUGGUCAAACAAGGAUUAGAAUUAACCCAUGUAAGAUACAGAGCUCCGAGAAUCUUAUUAAUGAAGUUGUAUCUAGCGAUGGCAAAGAGAUAAAAGGUGGUUUUGUGUUAUAGUUGCACCUUGUGAAAAGUUGCCUACGUACACUCGUAAGAGAAAGCUAGUUCAUCACACGGUAGUUUCAAGGGUAUUUUCAUAUCUUGAAGUUGAGAUUAGGAUUGAUACCAGAUCAGAGUGGGGGAGCAUAUGGAUGGUGAGAUAUGAAAUCAUAGUUCUUUGAGAUGAUAGUUUUGGUUGUCGUCGUCGGAGUGAGGUCGUCGGGAAGGGAUGCUCGGUUCAUCGGUGACGGAGUCGUCGGAGAAGAUGCCCGGGUCGUCAGUGAAGAUGGUGCCGGUUCGGCGUUGCUGGUUCGGCUAUGACAGUGCCAGUUCGGCGUUGACGGUGACGGCGUUUGACGGUGCGGUGUUCGAUGAUGACGGUGCAGCGUUUGAAGGUGAUGGUGCGGCGUUGACGGUGGGGCGCUCGACGGUGAUGGUGCGACGUUUGACGGUGACAGUGCGGUGUUUAACGGUGACGGUGCGGCAUUCGACGGUGACGGUGCGGCGUUUGACGGUGAUGGUGCGGUGUUGACGGUUCCAAUUACACAUCAGCGUCGGCGUGUCGUCAUCAGACGGAUGGCUUUCUAGAUUUUCCAAAGAGACUUUUCUCUAAAACCUUUAUUUGUUUCUCUCUCUUGUUUUCUACAUAAAUAGAAAAGUGAA
rnacentral:lncRNA from 1 species